rnacentral:lncRNA from 1 species
GAGGUGUCUCCCAGCUGCUCUAUCCCCCAAUGUCCCCACGUCCCAGCAGCUCGCUCAGGACCCAGAUUUAGGGAAUUUGCUCCCAAAAAACCUCUCAAACGUUCCCAGCUGCCAAGCCGUGGGUGCCAAUGCCAAGCAUGGAUGCUGGCAGCUCAUCCACCUCCAGGCCCUUUUUUUUGACAGAUGUAUUUUCAAAUUUCCCUUCUGCAGCACUGGGACAGCUGAAGGAAAAUGGGAAUGCUGGAGGCUCCAGUGGGAGUCAGGCACGUGGGCUGGCACUGCCCCUGGCACAGGGGUCCUUUGCACACUCCCUGCUCACACUCAUCCUGUGCUCACACCCACCCCUUCACCCUCGCUCUUUGCACACUCACCUCCUGCUCGCCUCACACUGCACGUGCUCCCUUUCCACACUCGCUCUCAUUCCACGCCUCUUCACCUUGCACGCUCCUUCCUUGCUCCCUGCCCACUCCCUCCCUUUGCACACCUGCUGCCCGUGCACGCUGCACACAGCUCCCCUCCCACGCUGCUCCUUUCGGAAGUUGCUCCCCUGGAGCGCUGAUUCCCUUUGCACACUUGUCCCUCUGCACACUCAUUUCCACGGGUGUGUCCCAAUGUGCCCUUGCACACUCAGCCCCUCUGCACUCGCUCUCCCUCUGUGCUCACUCCCCUUGCACACUGGUUCCCCUUCCACUCUCACUCCAUUUGCUCGUGCACUCCCCUUGCACACUCAGGCCUCCUGCAGCUCCCACACUUGCUCCUCGUGCACACCCACUUCCCUUGCUCAUGUGUUUCCUCCAUUCACGUUCUGCCCUUGCACACUCCCCAUUCCCCUGCACACUCUCUCCAUUCCCUAUUCCUCAUUCUCUUGCACACUCCCAUUCCCCUGCACGCCCCCUCCAUUCCCUGUUCCUCAUUCUCUUGCACACUCCCAUUCCCCUGCACACUCUCUCCAUUCCCUAUUCCUCAUUCUCUUGCACACUCCCAUUCCCCUGCACACUCCCUCCAUUCCCUAUUCCUCAUUCUCUUGCACCCUCCCAUUCCCCUGCACACAUUCCUGCUCACGAGGAGCCACGAGGCCAAAUCACCUCGGGGAGAGGUUUAUUCCCUUUGCCCCUGGGAUUCCCAGCCCUCCCCAAACACGGGCUGGGGGUGCAGGCUCGGCCCCCCUGGCCUGGAGCUGUCUUUUGCCCCCACCCUGUGGAAUCCUGGGUUGGGGUCCCUCUGGCAGGACCAAAGCCCCUUUCCCACGCGCUGGCUCCACAGGGUAUUUUCGCUGCCCCCUGCAGUGGGAGCUUUUCUCUCUCUUCCCUUCCCCUGCCCAAGGUUUCCUCCCAGCUUCCUGGCCCGCCUGUUUAUUCCCAAAUCCCAGAUUUCUUUGUUUGCCUGGUGGUAAUUUUCCAUCGAGGCUCCAAAUCUGUGAAUUCCCACAUCGUCCACAUGAAAAAUUAACGUCUCAGUGAAUAAAACCAUCACAUUUGUGGGGUUCACAGGCACAAACCCUCAUUUAUUUUCCCUUAAAGUCC